CCUACGGGAGGCAGCAGUGGGGAAUAUUGGGCAAUGGGCGCAAGCCUGACCCAGCAACGCCGCGUGAAGGAAGAAGGCUUUCGGGUUGUAAACUUCUUUUCUCAGGGACGAAGAAAGUGACGGUACCUGAGGAAUAAGCCACGGCUAACUACGUGCCAGCCGCCGCGGUAAUACGUAGGUGGCAAGCGUUAUCCGGAUUUAUUGGGUGUAAAGGGCGUGUAGGCGGGAGCGCACGUCAGAUGUGAAAACUCAGGGCUCAACCCUGAGCCUGCAUUUGAAACUGUGUUUCUUGAGUGCUGGUGAGGCAAUCGGAAUGCCGUGUGUAGCGGUGAAAUGCGUAGAUAUACGGAGGAACACCAGUGGCGAAGGCGGAUUGCUGGACGGUAACUGACGUUGAGGCUCGAAAGCGUGGGGAGCAAACAGGAUUAGAUACCCCUGUAGUC
rnacentral:rRNA from 1 species